UGGGGAAUAUUGCACAAUGGGGGAAACCCUGAUGCAGCGACGCCGCGUGAACGAAGAAGGUAUUCGUAUCGUAAAGUUCUGUCCUAUGGGAAGAUAAUGACAGUACCAUAGAAGAAAGCUCCGGCUAAAUACGUGCCAGCAGCCGCGGUAAUACGUAUGGAGCGAGCGUUGUCCGGAAUUAUUGGGCGUAAAGGGUACGCAGGCGGUUUAAUAAGUCGAAUGUUAAAGAUCGGGGCUCAACCCCGCAAAGCAUUGGAAACUGAUAAACUUGAGUAGUGGAGAGGAAAGUGGAAUUCCUAGUGUAGUGGUGAAAUACGUAGAUAUUAGGGGGAAUACCAGUAGCGAAGGCGACUUUCUGGACACAAACUGACGCUGAGGUACGACAGAGUGGGGAGCAAACAGG
rnacentral:rRNA from 1 species